GCAAGAUACCACGGGCGCACGGCGGAUGCCUUGGCACAGGGAGCCGAUGAAGGACGCGGCAAGCUGCGAUAAUCCCCGGCGAGGAGCACACAUCCUUCGACCCGGGGGUCUCCGAAUGGGCGAACCCAUCCACAGCAGUGUGGAUAUCCCCACCCCGAACACAUAAGGGUGGGGAGGACAACCCGGGGAACUGAAACAUCUAAGUACCCGGAGGAGAGGAAAUCAAUCUCGAGACUCCCCGAGUAGCGGCGAGCGAAAGGGGACCGAUGGCCAAACCGUCGAGCGGGCAUACCCGGCAGGGGUUCCGCCGACGGGGUUGCAGGGCCGCGCAUCCGGGGGCUGCCGCCCCCGGGCGCAGGUCCGGCUGGGGAGCGGAACGGCAUGGGAGGGCCGGCCGCAGCGGGUGACAGCCCCGUACGCGAACCCAGACCGGACGGCGCGACGCGGUCCCUGAGUAGGGCCGGGCACGUGAAACCCGGUCCGAACCUGGGUGGACCACCAUCCAAGCCUGAGUACUACCCUGUGACCGAUAGCGCACCAGUACCGUGAGGGAAAGGUGAAAAGCACCCCGGGAGGGGAGUGAAACAGUACCUGAAACCGUGCGCCCACGAGCAGUCGGAGCACCCUUGUGGUGUGACGGCGUGCCUUUUGUAGAAUGAGCCAGCGAGUCGCUGGCGCGGGGCGAGGUUAACCGAAAGGGAGCCGGAGCGAAAGCGAGCCUUAACAGGGCGACUUGAGUCCCGCGCCGCGGACGCGAAGCCGGGUGAGCUAUCCGUGGGCAGGCUGAAGCGGGGGUAAGACCCCGUGGAGGGCCGAACGCACGUCGGUUGAAAACGGCGGCGAUGACCUGCGGAUAGGGGUGAAAGGCCAAUCAAACCCGGAGAUAUCUCGUUCUCCCCGAAAUAGCUUUAGGGCUAGCGUCGCGCGUUCACCGCCGGAGGUAGAGCACCGGAUGGACGAGGGGGCUUCGCCGCCUACCGAAUCCAACCGAACUCCGAAUGCCGGCGGCCCAGAGCGCGGCAGUCAGAGCAUGUGGGCUAAGCUGUGUGCUCGAGAGGGAAACAGCCCGGACCGCCCGCUAAGGUCCCCAAGUUCCAGCCGAGUGGCAAAGGAUGUGCGUCCGCCCAGACAACCAGGAUGUUGGCUUAGAAGCAGCCAUCCAUUCAAAGAGUGCGUAACAGCUCACUGGUCGAGUGGACAUGCGCCGACAAUACACGGGGCUAAGCUGGACACCGAAGCGGCGGGAUUUUGAUUUUCAGAAUCGGUAGGGGAGCUUCCCAUGGGCGGUGAAGCCGCCGGGCGACCGGCGGUGGAGCGCAUGGGAGUGAGAAUGCUGGCAUGAGUAGCGAGAGACGAGAGAGUAACUCGUCCGCCGUGAACCCGAGGUUUCCUGGGCAAGGCUAAUCCUCCCAGGGUCAGUCGGGGGCUAAGGCGAGGCCGGGAGGCGUAGCCGACGCGCAGCAGGCAGACAUUCCUGCACCGCGCACGCGGCGCUACGACCGACGGGGCGACGGAUGGGGGUGGCUCGGCGGGGUUCUGGACGUCCCCGUGAUGGAGCGCGGCCCGCGGACCAGGGAAAUCCGGUCCGCAUCAAGGGCGAGGCUCCGGACGAAGCACUUAAGCGAAGCGAGUGAGCCCGAGGUCCCUAGAAAAACCCCUAGGCAGGCGCGUGCGCGCCCGUACCGCAAACCGACACAGGUGGGUGGGUAGAACAUACCGAGGCGAUCGGGUCAACCAUGGUCAAGGAACUCGGCACAAUGGCCCCGUAACUUCGGGAGAAGGGGUGCCCGCGCGUACGUGAACCGGCUUGCCCGGGGAGCGGAGGCGGGCCGCAGUGGAGAGGCCCAAGCGACUGUUUACCAAAAACACAGGACUCUGCAGAAGCCGCAAGGCGACGUAUAGGGUCUGACGCCUGCCCGGUGCCGGAAGGUCACGCGGAGGAGUUAGCCGCAAGGCGAAGCCCCGAAGCCAAGCCCCGGUAAACGGCGGCCGUAACUAUAACGGUCCUAAGGUAGCGAAAUUCCUUGUCGGGUAAGUUCCGACCUGCACGAAAGGCGCAACGACUUGGGCGCUGUCUCGACCAUGGACCCGGUGAAAUUGCACUGGUCGUGAAGAUGCGACUUACCCGCGGAAGGACGGAAAGACCCCGUGAACCUUCACUGCAGCUUGGCAUUGGCCGCUGGUCCCGCGUGUAGAGGAUAGGCAGGAGGCAUCGAUCCGGAGGCGCCAGCCCCCGGGGAGCCGCCCUUGGAAUACUGCCCUCGCGCGACCGGCGUCCUAACCCGAGGCCGUCGACCGGCUCGGGGACCGUGCCAGGCGGGCAGUUUGACUGGGGCGGUCGCCUCCUAAAGGGUAACGGAGGCGCGCGAAGGUCCGCUCGGGACGGUCGGCAACCGUCCUUUUGAAUGCAAGAGUACAAGCGGGCUUGACUGCGAGGCCCACAAGCCGAGCAGGUGCAAAAGCAGGUAUCUGUGAUCCUGGGCAUCUGUUCCAAUACAGAUUAUCUUUUCUGUGAUGAGACCUUUGACGGCCUGGAUCCGGUAAUGCGCCAGGCAGUAAAGAGCAUUUUCGCAGCAGAGAUCGAAGACCGGAACAUGACUCCUGUGAUCGCAUCCCACAACCUGCGGGAACUGGAAGAUAUCUGUGAUCAUGUAGGGCUGCUGCACAAAGGCGGCAUCCUUCUUUCUAAGGAUUUAGAUGAUAUGAAGUUAAAUAUCCAUAAGAUCCAGUGUGUAUUAAAAGAAGGAAUGACGGCAGAUGACUUAAAGGGACUUCAGAUCCUUUCACAGGAAGGAAGAGGACGGCUUCUUACCCUUACAGUAAGAGGCACAAAACAGGAAGCAGAGGACAUUAUGAACCGGUAUGAGCCAGUAUU
rnacentral:rRNA from 1 species